rnacentral:rRNA from 1 species
CCUACGGGAGGCAGCAGUAAGGAAUAUUGGUCAAUGGACGAAAGUCUGAACCAGCCAUGCCGCGUGAAGGAUUAAGGCCCUCUGGGUUGUAAACUUCUUUUAUCUGGGACGAAAAAAGGGUAUUCUUACUCACUUGACGGUACCAGAGGAAUAAGCACCGGCUAACUCCGUGCCAGCAGCCGCGGUAAUACGGAGGGUGCAAGCGUUAUCCGGAUUUACUGGGUUUAAAGGGUGCGUAGGUGGGCUUGUAAGUCAGUGGUGAAAUCUCCGGGCUUAACCCGGAAAUUGCCAUUGAUACUAUAGGUCUUGAAUUAUCUGGAGGUAAGCGGAAUAUGUCAUGUAGCGGUGAAAUGCUUAGAUAUGACAUAGAACACCAAUUGCGAAGGCAGCUUACUACGGAUAUAUUGACACUGAGGCACGAAAGCGUGGGGAUCAAACAGGAUUAGAUACCCUGGUAGUCCACGCCCUAAACGAUGGAUACUCGACAUCAGCGAUACACUGUUGGUGUCUGAGCGAAAGCAUUAAGUAUCCACCUGGGAAGUACGAUCGCAAGAUUGAAACUCAAAGGAAUUGACGGCUUGAGAGNGCGAGAGACACGAGGAGAGG